rnacentral:rRNA from 1 species
UACGUAGGGGGCAAGCGUUGUCCGGAUUUAUUGGGCGUAAAGAGCGUGUAGGCGGCCAUACAGGUCCGUUGUGAAAACUCGAGGCUUAACCUCGAGACGUCGAUGGAAACCGUAUGGCUAGAGUCCGGAAGAGGAGAGUGGAAUUCCUGGUGUAGCGGUGAGAUGCGCAGAUAUCAGGAGGAACACCCGUGGCGAAAGCGGCUCUCUGGGACGGUACUGACGCUGAGACGCGAAAGCGUGGGGAGCAAACAGG